rnacentral:rRNA from 1 species
AGCGAACGCUGGCGGCAGGCCUAACACAUGCAAGUCGAACGGACCCUUCGGGGUUAGUGGCGGACGGGUGAGUAACACGUGGGAACGUGCCUUUAGGUUCGGAAUAGCUCCUGGAAACGGGUGGUAAUGCCGAAUGUGCCCUUCGGGGGAAAGAUUUAUCGCCUUUAGAGCGGCCCGCGUCUGAUUAGCUAGUUGGUGGUGUAACGGACCACCAAGGCGACGAUCAGUAGCUGGUCUGAGAGGAUGAUCAGCCACAUUGGGACUGAGACACGGCCCAAACUCCUACGGGAGGCAGCAGUGGGGAAUCUUGCGCAAUGGGCGAAAGCCUGACGCAGCCAUGCCGCGUGAAUGAUGAAGGUCUUAGGAUUGUAAAAUUCUUUCACCGGGGACGAUAAUGACGGUACCCGGAGAAGAAGCCCCGGCUAACUUCGUGCCAGCCGCCGCGGUAACAC